CAUGGAAACACCAGUUCCUGUAUGGUCAGAGAAGUUAAGCAGCAUUGAGCCUGGUCAGUACCUCUGUGGGUGACCAUUAGGGAAUAUCAGGUGCUGUA